AGCCAGUUGUCAUGACGGCCAGCCUGGCCUUGAUCAACUACUCGGCGAGGGUAUUGAGACACUGAUUCGAGAACUUCACGAGAGGAACGUCAGCGCUGACAACCCCUGGACCAUGUUCUCAGCGCCACAGGGUCAACCCGGCACCACCCAGGCCCUGGCCGCCUCGCUACGCCUCUCCGGUCUCUAUGUCUUCUAGGGCCUGCAGGACCAAGUCGCAAGAUGAUCAAACAUUUGGUUCCUGUUAAAAUAUCUAUGAGACAGAAGGCUCUUAUAUAUAAUCACAGACUUGUUAACAUUUACCAUUGUUGCUAUCUGUUUAGUGCAGUUGUGCUUAGGUAUUUCUGAUGCUGUAUAUUGUGAAAAAUGUAUUGAAUAAUUAGUUAUAAACUCAGCAUUACUUCCCAAAAUCAAGAACUGGCCAACGAA